GCGUGAUCUCAAACCUGGAAAGACUAUUGAGUUGUGUGAGUGUGAUGUUACAGCCUCGGCAUCUUUAGGGGUCCUCACGUUGCAUUCUGUAAAUUAUUUUACUUAAUUUAAUUUUGAACACUCACAUUACUCGUGAAAAGCCGUUGUCAUGCAAUCUUUCGACAUGGAGGCCUUGCUACGUCUUGCCGAAGUGCCACUGUAUUGGGUCGGUGUUUUCACCGCGGCCUGGCUGUCUUUGUGGGUAGUGUACAAAUUGCUCUUCGGGUUUCGGAUAUGGGUUCUAGGCAAUGGGCAGCUGAUUUCAACGAAGCUUGGAAAAUGGGCAGUUGUGACGGGAGCCACGGACGGCAUUGGGAAAGCCUAUGCGGAAGAGCUGGCUCGGCGGGGUUUCAACAUCGCGUUGAUCAGUCGCUCUCAGGAGAAGCUGGACGACGUGUCGGGGUCCCUCGAGAGCAAGUUCAACGUGGAGACCAAGACGAUCGCUGUGGAUUUUGGAUUGCUGGACAUUUACCCCAAGAUCGAGGCGGGACUGGCGGGGCUGGAGGUCGGGGUGCUGGUGAACAAUGUUGGGAUUUCAUACACGUACCCGGAGUUCUUCCUCGAGAUCCCUGAUCUGGACAAUUUUAUCAACACCAUGAUCAAUGUCAACAUCACCUCAGUUUGCCAGAUGACCCGCCUGGUCCUGCCCCGGAUGGUGGAGAGGUCUCGGGGCGUGGUUCUAAACAUCUCCUCUGCCAGCGGCAUGUACCCUGUUCCCCUCCUCACCAUCUACUCCUCCACCAAGGCCUUCGUGGACUUCUUCUCACGAGGACUCAAUGCUGAGUAUAAGAGCAGAGGCAUCAUCAUCCAGCUGGUGUGCCGGCGCCCUCCGGUGGCAGCUCUGAGCACCGCGUGUGGGUUUUGGCCAGGCCAGCUAACCGGCUCCCCCUCUCUGCCCACAGAGCGUGCUCCCUUUCUUUGUGGCCACAAAGAUGACGAAGAUCAGGAAGCCCACCUUGGACAAGCCCACCCCGGAGCGCUACGUCGCUGCUGAGCUGACCACUGUGGGCCUGGAGAGCCAGACCAACGGCUACUUCCCCCACGCGGUCAUGGGCUGGAUCAGUGCCGUUUUCUCCCCCGUGUGGAUCGUGCUCUACUUCGGCAUGGCCAUGGGCAAGGCCCAGCGCGCCGGGUACCUGAGGAGGAGGAAGCAGCGCUAAGCGCUAACGCCGCCACCACCACCACCGCCCGCC